UCAGCAGAAAAGUGUGAACAAUUUGUCGGAUGGGCCAGGGGAUCGGUGUCAAAAUCAGGAGUCUGAGCCUGGGUUGUGAACUUGGGACUGUCUCAAGCUGACGGAUACAGUACUCUCAAGUGAACUUAAAAGAACACCAACUUCUGGUCUGAAAUUCCCGUAUUUUACGCUCCACUGAGGGUGUCCACAGCGGCAGAACAUCGUAGAAAAAUCAGCAUUUGUGUUCUAGCCUUCAACAGUUACCCUGUGUGAAUAUCAUGAAUGCUAUUUCAUCAUCAUGAAGAUUAACCAAACAAAAUAUAAAGGUCAAAUACUAAAAAACAAUUAAAUGAGCAUUUCCAUCUACUGAAAAAAUCAAGCAAGAAUUAAAUUUGGUUUUCCACUUCCAGUAACCUCAAACAUAUUUGAAUGUAUAUCUCUGAAGAGCUGAAAAGACAAACUGCUCCUGUCCCACCCCUCCAACAAAACACAUUUUGGUAGCAAUGGAGAAGUGAUGGUUUUAUUUCAGAAGUACCAAGCACCAGCACCUUCCACUCAAUUCAGAACAAGCUUCUUUGAUGGCUUUGAACUACAGACAACUAACAGGUUUCUACUUUCCACACUUUGCUGACACAUUUUGAGGUUUCUCUCAUGCUGUGACAUUGGCCAUACCUGGGAGGGAAGGGUCCAUGUGGCCCCAGGUCCUCUCUCCAGCA